GCGGAGAAUGGCGGUGGAAGUGCUUGUUAUGCCAUGGGCCGAAGGGCCAUAAUUGUUAAUGAAUUGGCUGGUUAUGGAUUUAACCGUGAGCCGGAUGGCUAGAUUAUUGCCGUGUUACGGCGGAGCCAUGUUUAUGGCCAAGUAUAAAUGCAUAUAUGAUGUUGAUUGAAUUGUGAAGGUUUGCACUUCCACCAUUGGAGAUGAGGGUUUCCCUGGGUAGUAGCA
rnacentral:lncRNA from 1 species